GAACUCUACCCCCACCUGCCGGCCGCCGCCGCCAUCUUAUGAUCGUACGCCCUGCUGUCUAUUGGUGUAUUGGAGACGAGCAUGAUGACGUCAGCUGGUCAAUAUGGCGGCCAUAAGCAGCGGUUCCUUCCUCCCCCCCUUCGGCACCGUGGCAAGAUGGACGACACCGCGGGCCCGUCACGAACGUCGGACGUAGCGACGAUGGGAAGCGAGAGCGCGGACGACGCCGCCGCCCCGCGCCGCCUCGAAGAUGCGGACGAUCGACGAUGACGACGCGAGUGCCGCCCCUACCACGGGUGACGCCGCCGUCGAAAGCCGCGAUAACCGGGGCUCGAUAAGGGUCGCAUCCGCAUCAGUGUCGUUUCCGCAGGACAUCAGAUCCUUAAGAGCUUCUUACAGUUCAUGAAGCUACGCAGGGAGAGAGCAGCGAUGCUAUCAGCAUUUAUACUUCCAGUAUUUCAGUGUCUGAUAACGAGUCAAGUUCAAGCAGAGUCAGCGCGAUAAUUGUGGUAUUGUCCUGGGGUGCUCAAAAAGAGACGGUAAAGCCGCAACAAAUAGAGAAGAUAUAUGGAUCUAAGACCAGGAAAGUACGUGAUGCGCAUUCUCUUCGCACAAUUUACUUCGCAGGCGGAGAAAAAGAUGGAAGCUGUUAUGACAGAACAUGAAAAACAACUAUCAAAAGUAUCGCAAAGAGGAGAGGAUUUACAAUUCAAUCUGUAAGCGGGCUGCGAGACUGACUGCUAUAAGUGCCUGCCGCUGUCAGGCUCAUGGCUCGUGGCACAAGGUUGUCGAUCACGCGUUGAUGCCGCCCCACGUACAGGUGCGCAUGCCGGCAUUGUCGCGAAUC